UACGGAGGGUGCAAGCGUUAAUCGGAAUUACUGGGCGUAAAGCGUGCGUAGGCGGUCCGCUAAGUCAGAUGUGAAAGCCCCGGGCUUAACCUGGGAACUGCAUUUGAAACUGGCGAACUAGAGUUGAGUAGAGGAAAGUGGAAUUUCAGGUGUAGCGGUGAAAUGCGUAGAUAUCUGAAGGAACACCAGUGGCGAAGGCGACUUUCUGGACUCAAACUGACGCUGAGGUACGAAAGCGUGGGUAGCAAACAGG
rnacentral:rRNA from 1 species